UACGAAGGGGGCUAGCGUUGUUCGGAAUCACUGGGCGUAAAGCGCACGUAGGCGGAUGUGCCAGUCAGGGGUGAAAUCCCGGAGCUCAACUUCGGAACUGCCUCUGAUACAGCACGUCUUGAGUCCGGAAGAGGUGGGUGGAAUUCCUAGUGUAGAGGUGAAAUUCGUAGAUAUUAGGAAGAACACCGGUGGCGAAGGCGGCUAACUGGUCCGGUACUGACGCUGAGGUGCGAAAGCGUGGGGAGCAAACAGG
rnacentral:rRNA from 1 species